CCUACGGGAGGCAGCAGUCGAGAAUCAUUCACAAUGGGGGAAACCCUGAUGGUGCGACGCCGCGUGGGGGAAUGAAGGUCUUCGGAUUGUAAACCCCUGUCAUGUGGGAGCAAAUUAAAAAGAUAGUACCACAAGAGGAAGAGACGGCUAACUCUGUGCCAGCAGCCGCGGUAAUACAGAGGUCUCAAGCGUUGUUCGGAAUCACUGGGCGUAAAGCGUGCGUAGGCUGUUUCGUAAGUCGUGUGUGAAAGGCGCGGGCUCAACCCGCGGACGGCACAUGAUACUGCGAGACUAGAGUAAGGGAGGGGGAACCGGAAUUCUCGGUGUAGCAGUGAAAUGCGUAGAUAUCGAGAGGAACACUCGUGGCGAAGGCGGGUUCCUGGACAUUAACUGACGCUGAGGCACGAAGGCCAGGGGAGCGAAAGGGAUUAGAUGCCCGAGUAGUC
rnacentral:rRNA from 1 species